rnacentral:lncRNA from 1 species
CUCUCACGACCGACUGAGAGUUUUGAACAAAUUUCUAGGAAAAGCGCAAGGAUGGGGCUGCUAUGAGCUGUCCGCCAGGGUGGUGCUGAUAUGCACAUUAUGCCACCUAGCUAUUGAGGAGCCGGGGAGUUGUCCCUGCAAUAGCCACAGUGAACUGCUGCUUGACUCCACUGCACAGCAAACAGAGGUCAAGCUCUCAUUCUCGGAAACCCGUGUUCAAGCUUCUAUCUGGGGAGAUGAGUCUGAAGUAUGGGAGUCGUGUCUAAUUCCAUGGCCUGAACAUUACCAGCAGUUAAUUCAUUGCUGUUGUUUGGAAAAUGUUAAUUAAUCAACAUGAUUCUCCUGGUGCUCAAGGGAAAAAGUCGAACUGCUUUAAAAGCAGCAUUUACUGCUUCAGGUUCAAAUCAGAGAGAAGGAGAAUCACUUUUGGAUGGCUUUCCAUCAAUCCUGGAUUGCUGCUUAUCUCUAGAAUGGACACAGCUGAUUAUCUCUAGAAUGGACACAGCUGUGGGAAGAGUUCAGGUCAGGGCAGGUGUGCAACUUUUUAGCUUUCUCUGGGUCAGUUUGAAUACAGUAAUUUCUCUGAAGAAUUGUGCAGUCUUAGAACUUGCUACCCCCAGGUAGUAAUUUCUGGAUUAAUGAUCAUUUUGAAAUAAAGCUGCUACUGAUAUUCCUUCA